GAUGAACGCUAGCGGGAGGCCUAACACAUGCAAGCCGAGCGGAGCGGCGUACGGGUGCGGAACAUGUGUGCAAUCUGCCCUUAUCAAGGGGAUAGCCCGGAGAAAUCCGGAUUAAUACCCUAUAGAUAAGGAUGAGCACGCACAAGAUUAGCUAGUUGGUAAGGUAACGGCUUACCAAGGCGACGAUCUUUAGGGGGCCUGAGAGGGUGAUCCCCCACACUGGGACUGAGACACGGCCCAGACUCCUACGGGAGGCAGCAGUGAGGAAUAUUGGACAAUGGGUGGAAGCCUGAUCCAGCCAUCCCGCGUGCAGGACGACUGCCUAUGGGUUGUAAACUGCUUUUAUAUAGGGAUAGGUACUAUAUGAAUAAGCACCGGCUAACUCCGUGCCAGCAGCCGCGGUAAUAC
rnacentral:rRNA from 1 species